AAAGAUAUUUAAAAUUAAUUUGCAAAAUUAAUGUGCCUUGCAUAAAGGUAUCUUUU
rnacentral:tRNA from 1 species